rnacentral:ncRNA from 1 species
AAACUCUGGAGAAUCUCAUUUAUGAGUGCCGAAGGUGCAAGGCGUACAGCCGAAUCUCUCAGGCAAAAGGACAGAGCGGG